rnacentral:misc_RNA from 1 species
UUGCGUGGUGCAUUCACUUUCACAGCUCCGUGUGCAACGCAUCGCAUCCCUACACAGUGACCGCAUAAACCACCACUCUCUUCAUAACUCUUCUCAGCACACACCGAUGAGCAUCACCGCCGGUACGCUGCCUCCGGUGAAGGGCACCUCGGUCAAGAAGUCGCCGCGGAAGGGGCGGCCGGCAGACAGCAUGGGGAACGGCACUGGUGCUGCAGCAGACCCUCAUUGCUACCACAAAUGCCGCUGCUACGGUCAUGACGAUACACUCCCCAACUACAAGCUUCUCACGAUUCCGCGUACCAACAACUACUACGCAGCCACUGGAGGCUGCCCGUGCGUGCCUCGCGUAGCAGCGCACCCUGGUAGCUGGCGACUGAAGCAGGGUCAGCUGCGCUCUUCUACCUAUCGCUGCGGCACCGGGUGCAUCAAGAAGAGCGCUGCACUGACUUUGGGGUGCUGCCACCACAGCGGCGACCAGUACGGAUGGCGGCGGGGGCCGCACACGGUCCUGGAUAAGAACACCGCAGCGACGGGCAAGUGUGACACGUUCGGCAAUCUCGCCUUCAAGUCCACCUCCCGCGCGUACUGCGCUGUGGACGGCGACGACCUCAGCGACGUGAGCAGUGCGUCUCCACAGAAGCUGGAGGAUUUGGAGGCACUCAUUCUUGAGGAGCACCAGCAGCGCAUGCGUGUAGAGGAGGACGUCGAUGAGCUGGCCGGUAUCCAGCGCGACGGCACGGCGGACUGGUACAAGAAGAUCCACCACGACGCAGAACGCCGCCGGCUGCUUGCGCAGAUCUCCGAGGUGGAACUACAGGACCUUCUGCGUGAUGUGAAGAACAUUGUGGACCGCCCUCUCAACCAGACGAACAUGGAUCUGCUGCGUCGCAUCCUGCACCGCCAGGAGCACCUCCAGCGCCAGCGUGAGUACUAUGCUGCCCAGGAGCUGGAGUGAUGUGACGUUGCACUCCACGGCCCAAGGGUGGCCAGAUGUCAGAAAAGACAGGAGGGGGAGAAGGCAGCACCGAUGGCCUCACCGGUCGCAUUCCUUUUGGUGCAUCGAAUCACAGCAGAGGUGCCAACGGAUCUCACGCCUCCGUCCCGAACCACCGCAAGCGUCAUGGUGGCCGAAGCUGGCGGCGUGGUUUCAUGUUAUGUUGUUCCUUCUCCGUCCCUCUCUUGCCCUUCGCGGUAGUAUGUGACUCGAUGCGUCAAACCGUGGGAAGGACAUCCCGUGCUGGUGCGACCUCACCUUCCCCUUCCCCCACCCACCCACCCCCCUCGUUCGCUCCUUUUCGUCCACUUCGUAGAUGUACAGCGGCGCCUCUCCCCUUUUGCCCUCGUUUCUUUCCCUUCUACUUCGUCCAUUACGCAUGCAUAUGGUGCGGCAUGCCUCCUCCUCUCUUGUACUUGUUUACGUUGUGGAUCAUGAUGCAUGUGCUUGUGUGUGUGUGUGUGCUUCGUCUCUGUACGCAUGGCAGCCUUC